GCCUCUGCACUGGGAUUCCUCCAGCCCCAGCAAGUCCCUCAGGUGGUCCCAGCCUCUGUGUCCGCCUCUGCUCUCCCAGAGCGCCUCAGGCAGAGCAGCCAGGAUGGGGACCAGGCCCGCCUUACCGGGAAUGAGCCUGUCACCUGCUCCUCCCACCCCGCAGCAGCCUCUGUCGGGCUGACAGUGACUUCAGGAAUGCUCUCCUCCUGCCGCACUCUGGACCUGUUGGCCAUGCUGUUCAACUUAGCAAAUGUUCUUCCUCACCGCCAACCACAGUGGCCAGGUGCAAGUCCCUCUUGGACAACCUCAGCCCUGGAUACACCGCCUUAUUUACCACUUCGUGAGCAAAAAUAGUCCUUUUUUUUAAAUGGGGUCUCCUUCUGUUGACCAGGCUGGAGUGCAGUGGCGCAAUCACAGUUCACUGUAGCCUGACCUCCUGGGCUCAAGCGAUCUUCCCCUCAGCCUCCCAAGUAACUAGGACUACAGGUGCAUACCACCAUGCCCAGCUAAUAUUGUUUAUUUUGUGUAGAGACAGGGUCUAGCUAUGUUGCUCAGGCUUGACCUUUAGUUUUUCUCAGAAUUUCAAGAGGUUGUGUCUUAUCUGCCAACAGAUCAUGCAACCAGCAAGGCUCUGGUCCAAGUAGGAACGGAUGGUAAACUGGGCAGUGAUGAUGGUGGAGAUGGUGGUGGUGGUGAUGAUGAUGACAAUGAUAAUGAUGAUGGUGAUGGCAGUGGUGGUAGUGGUGAUGGUGCUGGUGGUGCUGGUGAUAUGAUGAUGGCAGUGAUGGUAGUGAUAAUAGUGAUGAUAAUGUGAUGGUAGUGAUGGUGGUGGCAGUAAUAGUGAUGGUGAUGGUGGCAGAGAGGGUGGUGACAGUGAUGUCAGUGGUAAUGGUGGUGGUGAUGGUAAUGGUGAUGGUGGUGGUGGUGAUGAUGGUGGUGAUAGUGGUAGUGAUGGUGUGGUGGAAAUGAUGGCUGUGAUCGUGAUGAUGAUGGUAGUGAUGGUUACAAUGAUAGUGGUGGUAGUGGUGGUGAUGGCAAUGAUGGUAUUGAUGGUGAUGGUGGUGGUGGUGGUAGUGAUGGUGGUGGUGGUAGAUGGUGGCAGUGAAGACGGUGGUAAUGGUAGAUGGUGGCAGUGAAGAUGGUGGUAAUGAUGGUAAUGGUGAUAGUGGUGCUGGUGGUGAUGGUGAUGGUGGUGGUGGUGGUAGUGAUGGUGAUGAUGAUGGUGAUAGUGAUGGUGGUGGUGGUGGUGGUGCUGUUAGUGGUGGUGGUGGUGUUGCUGGUGGUGUUGGUGAUGGUGGUGGUGGUGGUGGUGAUGGUCAUGGUGGUGGUGGUGGUGGUGGUGGUGAUGGUGGUGGUGGUGGUGGUCAUGGUGAUGGUGGUGAUAGAGCCAAGAGGCUCUUGGGACCAUAUGGCUGGGACUGAAGGCAGUGUAGACACAGCUGACCCUUCAUGAGGGCUCUGCCUGGCUCUAGUAGCUUCUAUCCUGAAAGCCUGGUGAGUGUCUGAAGGAUGGUCCCCUUGUUAAGUGAGGGCAGGCUUGUGGAUUUCAGGGGCCCCAGAGGCCUGGGAGGACAUUUAGUGGGGGCGGGGUCCUCACCAAAGACUCAAUGGGCUCUGGAGUUCCUGUGUCUCCUGAGACCUGCGCCUGACGUCACCCUCUGGAUGGCCUCUGGCCUCUACCUGGGCUGGGGUGUCCCAGGAACAGAGAAGGACCCAACUAUUGUUGGGGACCCCAGCACUCUCUGUCCAACCGAGCCUGGGGCCUGGGUGGCAAAUGUGGGCAUUGCGAGAGUGGCAGGACUGGGAGGAGGCCCAAGCCCUGGGUAGGGCCUGGGGGGUGCCAGGUCCACACCUCCGAGGUGGUGAGUGGUGCAGACAGCUGGUGCCUGUGGGUCCCUAACAAAUGCAGCUGAGAAGUGGGCCCUCAGAUGUCCACGUGGCAUAACCCUGCUGUGACUGAAGCCGCCAGCCUGGAUUGAACAUUCUUCAAGAUUUCUGCCUUCAUUUAACAAGUAUGUGUGUCACUCGUGUUGUGAGCCAGGCACUCCAUGCAGCCAGAUCAAGGCAGGGAAGUCCCUGCCCAGGAGUACUCAUGUCCCAGUAGAGACAGAGGCCACAGGGCUUGCCCUGUGAAGCCAGCAGGCCCUGGGGGCUGGCUGUGAUGAGGACCUCCGAGUCCUUUGGGGAAUCUGCUGCCCAAGUCAGACCCAGAUGGAAGCCUGGAGCUGCCCCGCAGGAGCAGGGAGGGAGUGCUCUGUCCUGAGGUAUACAGCUUUUACUAGCUCCGAUGGGGUGCCUCUUGGGGUCCCCCAGCCUGGGAAAGAGGCGCCAUCAGCUCUAGGAGGCUGAGAGCCUGGAGUCUUGGCCUCUGAAGGCUGCGUUUCCUGGAUGGCAAAGUCCAGCAGGACCCUGGCACCAGGGGUCCUUGGGCAGGCAGUUGGUCCUAGGCAAAGAAAAAAGGGCAGAGCUGCCCUAGCUGAGAGGGUGGAAGGCCAUGUGCCCCCCCCAACCACGAUGGGCGCUAGGAGUCAGAUACAAUUACUCUCUCAGUGUAUCAUAAUUACUGCAAAUAGCCCAUUAAAGAGAAAUUAUCAUCAAUAUGAUAUUAGCAGACAGCGGGGGAAAUGAAGAAAGAAAAGUGCUUAUUCUCUCAUUGUCCCCUUAAUGGGGACAAGGGGUGGAGAGGCAGUGGCCCCUGUUCACUGACCUCACCUCCCUGCCCACUGCAUGGAGCCACGAAGGACCCGGCAGGCUGGGAGCCAAGGCAUGACCCUGGAAACAGCAGUGCAGGAAGAGCGGGUGCCAUGGGUGGAGUCGGACCUGCCUCUGCCCACUGUCGGGGGCUCCGCUGUCGCCUCCCAAACCUGGCUUUAGUCCAGCUUGGGUGGCUCGGGCCUCCCUUGAGGUAGCCUCUGCUGCGCCCCCACCCCCACCGUGAACCCUCCAAGGGAAGGCCCUGGAGUAGGAGGGGUCUUGGUUCAGCCUGUCCUGAGCUUGUGGCCCUUUAAAUCCUGGGAACCAGGCUCCACUAGACGUGGCCUCUGGAGCACAGGUCUCUCCCAAACAUCACCAAAAUGACCGAAGAGGAAGAGGGAGGUGCCGUUUGCAGGAAAGAGAGAACGGGAGUGGAGCAGCAGCCACCAGUGAGGGAAGAGGUGGCAAAGUGCUCCAUGGCUGGGGUGCCUAUCUUGGCAGAGUGGAGCAGAUGGUGAGCCAGACGUUCAGCUGGGCCCGGGUGGGCAUCCGUCAGAGCCAUUAGGCCCCUCGCUGUGGCCUCUCCCAGCCACAGGGGACCCUGGGGAAACUGGGCCUGGGACCAGGCUCACUGGAGGGUGGGUAUGAGGCUCUCACUGAAGAUAGGGGAUUGAGUGGCCAUCACAAACCAAGCUCAGCCGCCUGCCCCUCCUUCUCUUAGCAAUGACACCAGCAGCCCAUAGUCCCCAGGCAGGAGAGCAGAGGAGCCUUCCUUGAAAAACUCAAUGGCCAGAGGAAAAAGACCAGCCUCUCAAAAUGAUAGAUUCCCCAUUGCCUGGUCCUCUACAGAAAGGCCCAUCUGCCGACAAGACCACUGCCACCCUCUGCCACCCUCCACCACCCUCCGCCAGGUCACCAGAAUGCCAGGCCUCACUCAUGAUCAGCUGAGCACCAGCAGGCAGGUGAGAAGAGCCUCCAGUGUGGAGCAGGUCAACCAGCAACAGAGCCAGGGAGACCCAUGGAGUCCAGAGAAAACGGUAACAACGGCAGCAGCACCCAGAGACUGGCUCCCAGUGAGUUAAGCCCAGCCGCGACCCUUGGAUGUGCCAGCUGAUUUAAUACUCAUGAUAAACCCAGUAGGUCAGUGCCAGUAUUAUGAGAGAAGUGAGGCACAGAAUGUCACAUCCACCUCCCCAAAGUCAACAGCUAGGAGUGACAGAGCCAGGAUUCUGCCAGGCAGGUUGGCCUCAGAGGCCACACUUCUUAUCCCAAUAAUAAAAGUGAACAAGAACAGGAUGAAGUUAGAGUGAGAGAGCGAGAGUGGUAACACUCAUGCAAUCAGAGAACAAGAGAAAGCUCAAUGGAAACAUGUAUUCACUGACAGGAUUAAAACACAAAACAACAAAAAGAGAGACGGCCAGGCGCGGUGGCUCACGCCUGUAAUCCCAGCACUUUGGGAGGCCAAGGCAGGCAGAUCCCCUGAGCUCAGGAGUUUGAGACCAGCCUGGGCAACAUGGUGAAACCCUGACUCUACUAAAAAUACAAAAAUUAGCUGGGCAUGGUGGGGCAUGCUUGUACUCGGGAGGCUGAGGUGGGAGGAUCACUUGAACCCGGGAGGCAGAGGUUGCAGUGAGUCCAGAUCGCACCACUGCACUCUAGCCUAGGUGAUAGAGUGAGAUCCUAUCUAAAAAAAAAAAAAAAAAAAAAUAGAAGGCAGGAAGGAAAUAUCAGAAAAAUGCAGAAUUGAUCCAGGAGGUCCAAGUUCCAAAAGGAGUCAGAAAGAGAAAGGAGAGAAAAAGGUGGGGGAUCAAUGAUCAAAGAACUAAACUGAGACCAGCGCCCAGAAUGACAAGGCACAGGCCAGACAGCAAGGCUCACCCAAGUCCAGCACAAUGCAAGUGACACGUGUGCAUCACUGUGGAAUUGUAGACCACUGGUGCCAAGGAGUGCCCCAAAAAACUUCCAGAGGGGGAAAAAAUAGUCACAUAUGUCUCUCUCUCUCUUUUUUUUUUAAGGAUAAAGGGAAUUCUUUUUUUUUUUUUUGAGUCAGGGUCUUGCUGUGUUGCCCAGGCUGCAGUGCAGUGGUGUCAUCAUAGCUCACUGCAGCCUCUAACUCCUGGGCUCAAGCGAUCCUCCAACCUCAGCCUCCUGGGUAGCUGGGACUACAAGCAAGCACCACCAUGCCCAGUUAAUUUUUUAAUUUUUUUUGUAUGGAUGGGGGUCUCACUAUGUUGCCCAGGCUGCAGCAGGUUGGUCUCAAACUCCCGGACCCAAGUGAUACUCCCACCUGGGCCUCCAAAAGAGCUGGGAAUACAGGCCUGAGCCAUCAUGCCCAGCCACAUACUGUCUCAUAAAAAGGCAAAGCAACCCCCAAAUGCAGAAGGAGCUGAGAAACCAAAGGAGGAGGCAGACAAAUUCAGCUUGUUGUUAAAGUGUGUUUUAUGGGGGAUCUUAUGAACAGAAGAGUGGUCUUGGACAGCCACAAGACAUAUAGAUCUCCACACCAUAAUUCCCCAGACCCAGAGGUUAUAUACCAUAGGGAAAGGGUACAUGUGCUUCAGAGGGAAUGGGGAGGAAUUUGAUCUAAAGGCAGGACUUACAGUAUAUGCUCUUAUGCAAGAAACAACAGAUAAACUGAAAAUCUCAGAGGCAUUCCUGGAACCAGUGUUAGUCAGAAGUCAGCAUGGUGGAUUAGCUUCCAUGGUAUGUUACUUUAGCCUCCACACAUACCAAGGAUUAGUAGUAAAGAUGGAACUGGACUUCCAGUAACCACACAGAAGCUCAAAGACAGAGUACCUUACAGAUGCUGAGGAAAAGAGACUCCCAACAGCAAAUUCUAUACCCAGCCAAACUAUCUGUCUAGUGUGAGGAAAUACUAAUGACACUGUUAGAUUUGUUAAAUCUCAAAACACUUAUCUCCCAUGCAUCUCUUCUGAAGAAGUAUCUGAAGGAUGCUCCCCUACAAGGAGAAGUCAACCAAGAAAGAGAAGGGGGUGCCAACACAGGUGAGGCAGGAGGGGCCAGCAGGCCUGGAGAGCAGCCAGUCCAGCUGUGGCAGGAAACUGGUUGGCUCCUGCUGAAAGGUAUCCAGGGAAAAUGGCCUUCCUAGAUUACACAAUGCAAGUUUCUGUGUGGAAGCCAUGUCACGAGAGAUUUCUAAAAUGAUUAGAGCAUUUAGGAAGAAUUUGUUGUUGACACAUAGAAAACCAAACAAAGGAAAACCAGGAGGCAAUUUUUAACUCCAGGAAAAACAAAGAAGUUGCUCAGGAAAGAGCAUUUAAUUAUAGUAUAUAACGUUGUUCAGGCAAGAACAAUUCUUAUGUAGUCAUGAUAAUUUAAAUAUGGAAUAUUUUUAAGCUAAAAGUAUUGUGGGGUUUUGUUGUUGUUGUUGUUUUGUUGUUGAGACGGAGUCUCACUCUGUCGCCCAGGCUGGAGUGCAGUGGUGUGAUCUCAGCUCACUGCAAGCUCCACCUCCUGGGUUCACGCCAUUCUCCUGCCUCAGCCUCCUGAGUAGCUGGGACUACAGGCGCAAGCCACCACGCCCGGCUAAUUUUUUGUAUUUUUAGUAGAGACGGGGUUUCACCAUUUUAGCCAGGAUGGUCUCGAUCUCCUGACCUCGUGAUCUGCCCGCCUCAGCCUUUUUUGUUGUUGUUGUUGUUUUUUGGAGACAAGGUCUCACUCUGUCACCCAGGCUGGAGUGCAGUGGUGUGAUCACAGCUCACUGCAUCCUAGACCUCCCAGGCUCAGGCAAUCCUCCCACCUCAGCCUCAUUUGUAGCUGGGACUACAGGUGCAUGCCACCAUGCCCAGCUAAUUUUUUGUAGUUUUGGUAGAAAUGGGGUUUCAUCACAUGGCCCAGGCUAGUCUUAAACUCCUGGGCUCCAGCAAUCUGCUUGCCUUGGCCUCCCAAAGUGCUGGGAUUACAGGCAUGAGCUGCUGCACCCGGCCUAAACUAAAAAUGUUCACAUAGUAUAUAGGGAGGAUGUGGGGCGGGGAAGAGCAAAUGUGUAAUGGAGUGAAAUCCUAAACAAUGCCUAAAAUUAAUAAAUCAAGAAAUAGUAAUAUAAACAUUUUAUUUAGAGAUUUGGAGGUGUACUAGUCUGUUCUCGCACUGUAAUAAAUUACCAAGACUGGGUAAUUUAUAAAGAAAAAGAGGUUUAAUGGACUCACAGUUCCACAUGGCUGGGGAGGCCUCAUAAUCAUGGCGGAAAGUGAAGGAGGAGCAAAGGCGCGUCUUACAUGGUGGCAGGCAAGAGAGCGUGUGCAGGAGAACCGCCUUUUAUAAAACCAUCAGAUCUUGAGAGACUUAUUCACUAUCACGAGAACAGCACAGGAAAAACUCACCCCCAUGAUUCAAUUACCUCCCACUGGGUCCCUCCCAUGACACAUGGGGAUUAUGGGAGCUGCAAUUCAAGAUGAAUUAGGGUGGGGACACAGCCGAAACAUAUCAGGAGGUUCCUGGAAGAAACAGAGUUGAAAGCAGUUAUCUUGCUGAGUGGGGGACUCAGGGCAUGGGCAGGAGACUGCUGAGUUUUGUUUUACGUCUUACUACAUUUGAUUUAUAAAAGACAGAUGUGCAUAUAUCACUUCAAAAAAACAAAAGUGGAUGUGGCUGAUGCCAAAGUGACCUGCCCCAGAAGAGCUGCUAACAGAACAGCAUCCCAGGAGGCUGCAGAAGGCUGAAGAGCAGAGCCCACACCUGCUAUGGGCCACAAGAGGCCCUGGAUGCCAUGGAGGCCGCAAGGGCCCAGGCGGGACUUGCAGAAUGAGAGUCCUAGGCCCAAGUAUAGAGUCCCUGGUGGGCACAGAGGAGAGACCAGGUCAGUGGGAGGGGUUGUCAGACCCUGUGGAGUGCCCCACCUGUGUGCCAGGCCCAGAACUGGGCUCAACUCUGAUGGUAGCAGGUGGAAAGUAGACUUCACUACUGUGGGAGUGGGGGCAUUCCUGGACACAGGGGGAAACCAGCUCACAGAACAGCCUGGGGUCUUCUUGGAGGAGGCCAUUUUGGCCCAGAUCCUAAAGGAAGACUGGAAGCCUCAGGGGGCAGUGAGAACAGGGACAAGAGAGGGCAGGUCUCAGGACUGACUGAGCAACUCAGACUGACCUGGAUCAAACUGUGGAGCCGGCGAAGGGUUUAGAGGGUUGCUGCAGGACAGUGGUGUCUGCAAAGACGCCUCUGGCUGCUGUCUGGAAAAUAGACAGGGGAGGCUGGGCAGGGGUCUGGGCAGGGGCUGGACAGGGGUGCUGGGCAGGGGCUGGACAGGGGUGCUGGGCAGGGGCUGGACAGGGGUGCUGGGCAGGGGCUGGACAGGGGUGCUGGGCAGGGUCAGUCCAUCUCCAUCCUGCUUUCCUUUUCUUUCUUUUCAACAAAUAUUGAUGGAGCACCUCCUCGGUGCCAGGCGCUGCUGCAGCCUCUAGGAAAUCAACCGUGGAAACACACGGACCCUGCCCUCCCGGCGCCAGUGUUCUGGUGGUCAGGAGGUGAAGAAAACCAGCAAGAACCAGCACAGGAAUCCGACGGUGGCAGCGCCGAGAGAAACAAGCUUGGAGGGGAAGGAGAGCUACAGAGGCUGCAUGGAUGUGAUGGUUGGAGUGGAAGCUGACAUUGUGGGCCAGGAGACCCUGGGAGUACAGGCCAAGAUGAAAAGAGCCUCAAUCCAGAGCGUUCUGUGAAGCAGUCACCACGGCCACCCUGGGCCAUCAGCUUCUGGACUUUUACAACAUAGAAAUUAAAUUUCCAUUGAAUUUGUUGGAGUCAUUGUUCCUUCAGCUCUCUGUUACCUGCACUUACAUCUCUCUGUGAGUCGCGGAGUCUUGCAGUUAAGGUAUUAAUAUUAUUGCGUCUCAAGGUGCCUCAGGUCAGAGGUUCCAAAGGUGAAUGAGGGCACAGCUCUCCGUCUGAGACUCACGGUGGAGAAGCCUCCUCAC
rnacentral:lncRNA from 1 species